UACGAAGGGGGCUAGCGUUGCUCGGAAUCACUGGGCGUAAAGCGCACGUAGGCGGAUCUUUAAGUCAGGGGUGAAAUCCCGGGGCUCAACCUCGGAACUGCCUUUGAUACUGGAGAUCUUGAGUCCGGAAGAGGUAAGUGGAACUGCGAGUGUAGAGGUGAAAUUCGUAGAUAUUCGCAAGAACACCAGUGGCGAAGGCGGCUUACUGGUCCGGAACUGACGCUGAGGUGCGAAAGCGUGGGGAGCAAACAGG
rnacentral:rRNA from 1 species